UACUCCAAGUACCAAGACUUCAGGAGGAUUCUACUAAAUACAACAAAACUAAAGAGUGGGAUCCAGUUCCUUAUAUAUAACGUGACACAGAGGUUGUUCCUCUUCCCUGAUGCCUCUUCCCUCCUUGCAUGAAUGACAGGCAGUUCCAUUCCUCCCAAGAAAAUCAUCUAGGGGCAAAACUACCCCAUGCAUCAGACCAGUGGGGGGACUAAUUGUGUUGGGAGCAGCUCUGCAGAAAACACCUUG
rnacentral:lncRNA from 14 species